AUAAUUUAGUUUAAAUAAAAUAUUUAUUUUUGGUGUAAAAGUUUUAAUUAUAAGU
rnacentral:tRNA from 1 species